UUAAGAAUUUAUUAUUAAUUCCCCACGCCCCCAUAUAUACAUACAUAGAACUAUAUUAUUGACCUUGAGUUAAUGAGUCUAAAUGUAUCUUUUUCCCAUCCCGUAUAUAGAUAAGGUUUUAUUUAUUUUUGUAUUUGUAUAUGUUUAAGAUCAUACUUGGUUUGAUAUAGAGUGUCAGUUCUUAUUCAUUCUUUUAUUAUUUAAUUCAAAUAGUUUUCUUUUUUUGCACUAAAUUCCUUGAAUAUAAUAGUAAUGAAAUACAUUAUUUCUCUGUUUUCUUGAAUUCCAGAAACCCGAAUCUCACAUUUAUAGAACAAUUUGAUCCCACAAAGAGUUGCUUUUUUUGUGUGUGUGUGUGUGAUGGAGUCUCGCUCUGUCGCCCAGGCUGGAGUGCAGUGGCACAAUCUUGUCUCACUGCCAGCUGCGCCUCCCGGGUUCAGGCCAUUCUCCUGCCUCAGCCUCCUGAGUAGCUGGGACUGCAGGCGCCCGCCACCACGC
rnacentral:lncRNA from 1 species